CACAGCGGAAAUGGUCUCGAUCGUUUGUGCUGCGUUAGUGCUGGUUUGUGCUGAAAAAAUCUUAGUUUGACAAGUUUCUUAUGGGCCAACCAUUGCAUUAAAUUGUUACUGAAUUAGUUGAUGGAGUGUGUUUUGAAGGGAGCCGUUUUUGCGGUUAAUUGGUGGUUAAUUGGUCAUUAAUUAAUCCGGCUGGUUUUUCUACACUCAUUCAGUGGGAAAGUGUGACGUUCUUGUUUUGUGGGUUUUCCUGUUUCAAGACCAAGUUCGUCCAUGCAGCCAAUGCUGUGGAAGGGCUUCCAAGGUCAGUGUCUAUCCACAAAAGUUCCCCAACACCAUAGCUGUGGGUUACUUUCCCAGCACACAGCACUUUUCCGGAGUUGAGAUGUGACACUGUGCAUCAACCUGGAAGCCACCAGACUUCAACUGGACAGCUUCAAACAUCCCCUCAGCAGCUCUGCCCUCUGUGAGUAUGUCUGCUGGGUUACACCUUCUGUAGCCACGGCUUUUACCAGCUGCAGGACUUGGUUGUCAGGGACUUCACUGCUAACAACAUUUUUGAAGGACCAACUGCCACAAUGGAUCUGCACGAAGCCAUUCAGGACAAGCAGAGAGGUAGGAAGUCCUUUUUCGUUUUUUGGGUGGAACAGCAAGGCCUCUCCAGUUUUCAGCUGGUUCUUCUUCUGUACAACCAACUUUAAUGGCAGCAUCAGACUCCUCACAAAGGUAAGCAUCUCUUUUUAUUUUUCUUUCUACACUUUGUAUAGUUGUGGGUGCUGGUUGGGCUGCUGUUUCACUCACUGUUUCCCAAGUUGCAUCCUCCUCUCCAGUGUGUUCUGCAGCACAAAUCCGCAUGUUGCCUUCAAUGAAGGAAAGAUGGCAAGCGAUGGAUUGAUCCACCCUAAUGGGUCAUUUUUCAUGCUUGAAAAGGCCGUGCUUGAUAUUUUUGAAUUCUGCUUCUACCUCGGCUGAGCCUGAGGUGACAUCAGUGGUUUGGAAGAAAGGGACCAUCACUCCUGUCCACAGUGGUAAGUAGCUGACUAAUCUUAUUAUUUGAGGAAUGAUUUAGGGGAGAUAGUGGAUAUUGUCUCGAUCCCCAUUAGCCAUGGCAAGCGACCUGCUUUCCUCACAGAUUUCUGUUACCCGCUGACUUAGGUCAGUCUGGAUCGCAUCACAUGGAUCCGCUUGUUCCAGUUGUUUUCCCUCUGCAUCUGGAAUGAUAACAGAUUCCUCUGCAAUCUGGGCUUUCAGGCAUUCCCACUGGCAGAUCAUCUUGAUGCAGUGUGCAACAUCAAGUCUGACAAAACAAGGAGGCAGUUUUGCACCCUGGUUUCUUUGUAAGACACCAAAGCACUCGUUGAUGUUCACCUGCACGAAUCCACUCUGUGAGCCACUGAGCUGCUGCAACAGCAUCAUGUCUUUCUGACAACAUCUGGACGACGGGAACACUGGAGCUGUUUGGUCCUUUUAGGACUCCUUGAUAUAAGAGGAUGUGGCCAGAGGAGCCAUUUGGUCUCACCAGUUUUUUCACCACUGAGCCAGUUGCAUCAAAACACACUGUCUGCUGAGAUUUCUUUGACAGUGUCUUGUAAACAUGCAUUUGUGUUUGACUCCAGUAGUGGCAGAAAAAUUGUCUAGGCCGAUAUCCCUGAUGCUACCACUGUGUGGAGCACUGUAUUUUAACAUCUGCAGUGACUUAAUGGGAUCUUUGUCACCCAAUUCCAAGUCAUUUCUCUCCUGUUUUGCUUUCAACAGGGUAGCCAAAUUGGGUAGGUGGCUUGGCUCAGGAUCUCCAAAAUCCAUCAGCGUGUUUGCCCGUGAUGCCGCCAUACAUGGGUUCCUUCCUGCCAUCACACAGCUCUGUGGCUACCUGCACAUGCAAGUGUACAGACAUGAAGCGCUUGGACUGACCUGUGUGCUUGGAGUCAUCAGUGUUUUUUAUUUUGCACUUUAGGACCAUCGGGCUGUUUAGUGCAGGCUCUUUCUCACACUGAAUAUCUAAAUGACUAAGACACUCUUUGCAGUAGCUUUUUAUAGAUAUAUAAUCUGUUGUCUGUGAUGGAUAGACCUUGGCUCUCUUAAAUACAGAUGUUCAUGGGCUUUUAACUUCUUUCCAAAUAAGCUCAUUUAUAAUAUGAGUCCAGAUGCCAGGCUUAAAAAUUUUGUAUUCCCUUUUUUUAGUUGAAGAACCCAUGUCCUUAUAUUCCACAUCUUCAGGAAUAAACUGUACCCAUUUAUCAAAUGGAACUUCAAGCUGGAAAUCCUUAUCUU